UACGGGGGGGGGCAAGCGUUGUUCGGAAUUACUGGGCGUAAAGGGUUCGUAGGUGGCCAAUUAAGUCAGACGUGAAAUCCCUCAGCUUAACUGGGGAACUGCGUCUGAGACUGGAUGGCUUGAGUGCAGGAGAGGAGCGCGGAAUUCCAGGUGUAGCGGUGAAAUGCGUAGAUAUCUGGAGGAACACCGGUGGCGAAGGCGGCCUUCUGGUCGGAUACUGACGCUAAAACGCGAAAGCGUGGGGAGCAAACAGG
rnacentral:rRNA from 1 species